rnacentral:lncRNA from 1 species
CACUCGUUGCUGAUGCACUCCAACCCGAGGACCUCCACGAUGGAGGUCGCCUCACAGCCUAGCGACGAGGUAACUCAUCUUCCUUGUGCGUCCUUCGCCCACUGUGCGCCCUGCUGCCCUCGACCUCCUUCCUCACAGGCAUGCUACCCCAACUUUUAUUUUGAUUUUCAGUUCAACUUGUGUGUUCUUUUCAGUGCAUUAUGCUUUAAAUGUGCAGAGUCUUGAGGCAAAAUGAUACAUUUUAGUUUGCUUUGCCGCAAGGGCAUUGCUGAAACUUAACUUCUGUCUAAACCUAUAACCAUCCAUUUUGAAAAUAGAUGCUUUCGAAAAUAGAUGCUAGUUUACUUUGCAUAGAGCUUGCAGCUUAUGUUUGUGUAGUUUGAACUUAAGCUGGUAUCCCUCUCGUACUUCAAUUUUUCAGUACUGGUCUAGUCAGUAUGGUGAAGAUGAAGCUCCUUUUUGAACUUCUCCGGUUAAUAUACAUGCACUUGGUCAUCUUUUUUACAUGUACUAACAUCAUCUCAUUCAGAGUUGUUCGUGUGCUUGUAACACAAAUCAGUUCAAAUCUCAAGAGAAGUAAGCUCAAAUAAGAAAAUAGAAAAGUUCGAAGCCGAGAUGUUUGCAUAUGUUUUGUUGAAUUGAGUUCCUUCCUAAAAAAAGCACUAAAUAUGUUUGCAUAUGUUUGCACAUCUUUUCAGUACAAACUUUUUAAAAAGUUUCUUUCUAAACUUCUCAAAAUUAAUAUACAUGAACUUGAUUAUCUUUUUAACAUGUAUUGAUAUCAGCUUCGUUGGAUUUUUGUGCAACUUGAACUGAUCGAGUAACACAAUCAGUUCAAAUCUCGAGAGACCAUAAGUUCAAGUUCACUAGUAUUUAUAAAUGUUGGUUGCAGCACUAGCAUUUACAAAUUUCUUAUAAUCUCCACAGGUCGGAGGCCGUACAUAUUUCUUAUUCCUAUUGCUAUAAGUUCAAGCGAUCAAAUGCUAUAAGUUCGCAUGUUAUUCUCCAAUUAGUUCAAGUGAUCAUUGUUUUAUUUUAUUGUGUAUAUGUCUAGACUUUGUGACCUGAACUUUCUACUUACUGCUUAGAGAACGCCCCUUUUGUGGCAUGAACUUUCUUCUUAUUGCUUAGAGAAGGUCCCUUGGAAAAGAUGACUACCUUUCGAAGUUGGAUUAUCCUCAAACAGUUUAUAUUUUGAUGUGGAAUAGGAAAAUAGGUUUGCUUUGGAGUGUGUUUUACAAUUAGAACCUUUUAGACUUCGUAUUCUUUGAGUAUGCAAAAAAAAAACAAAGGAGAAAAGCUGGCUACCUGCGUAUAGUUUUUAUAAUUUCCAUGGAAAACUAAUAUUCAUUCCCCUAUUUGGUGGAUGUUUUGAUAUAUUUCCUUCGCGAAUUGCAGUUGUCGAAUGGUGUUACACAAUUACUAUUCUAGCAUCAUUGUUUAUAUUGUAUUUUUUUAGCAUUCUUGCAACCCUAUUAACAACAUCUUUUUGUGCAGUGUUUGUCAGUUUUUUAUUUAUGGACAUCUUGGGCUUGCUGGGUGCAGAAUCAAAAUUUGUCGGUUUUUUAUUUAUGGACAUCUUGGGCUUGCUGGGUGCAGAAUCAAAGAAGGCCAGUGAGAGGUACUAGUAGAAGAGGAAGAAGUAAUGUGAAAAAUGAGAUAAAUGUGAGAAGACCAAGUACAAAAG